UGGUGAAUGGCCAUUCUUAGUUGGUUAGAGGGAUUUGUCUGGUUAAUUCAGAUAACAAACGAGACUUUGGCAUGCUAACUAGUUAUGCAACCCCCAAGCUGGGUGUUGACUUACGAAUUGAUGCUACUUCUAUCAAAUAUAUGAGUUAUUGUAAAGAAAAAGACUACUUCUAUAUUUGUCUGCUUGUCUGUACUCCUUAUUGUGGGUGACUGGUAAUUGGCCAGGUAAGUGCUAACGUUGAUUGCUUGGUAUC